UUUUUAGUACAGAUAUAUGCAUAAAUUAAUACUUUUGGGGUAUAGUGGGGUGUAUAUAUAUUUACACGUGUUGACUCAAAUAUAAAUUUCUCAAUUCCUGUUUAUACAUUCGUGUUAAUAAUUUCAUCAUUAUAUUUUCUUAAUCCUGUUUGAAUAUUCAAAGUUUACAAGCCCAUAACAAUGACAUUAUCGACAAAGUAGCUGCUAAUUCAAAUAUUCUACUUUUGUCUGAAACGUGGACUCAUAAUAAUGAAGACAUUUCCAUUCCUAAUUUUAAUUGUGUAGUUAAAUAUA